AUUUCCUGUCAAUAUGCACAUCUACAUAGUAUGUCCUUAUUAUCUACACAGUUUCAUGAAAUUCUGUUGUGUGGUUUGAGAGGAGUUGCGAUGACAAAUGGUUGCAGUAGUAUAUUGGGCAAAUAAGUUCAAAGGGGCGUAACUCCUGGAAAAAAAAUUGAAUCGUAAUUUCCUGUCGAUAUGCACAUCUACGUAGUAUGUCCUUAUUAUCUGAAAAGGUUUCAUGAAAUUCUGUUGUGUGGUUUGAGAGGAGUUGCAAUGACAAAAGGUUGCAGUAGUAUAUUGGGCAAAUAAGUUCAAAGGGGCAUAACUCCUGGAAAAAUAAAAUGCUUCGCUGGGCGCAGCUUGAUACGACCGCAGAGGUCGAACCCUGAACAGUUGGGGCAAGUAUGGACACAACAUUCAAGCUUGAAACAGCUCUGAAUUUGGAUUGUGAUUAAAAUAUUUGACACAGCAGAGGUUUCUGACACAGAAAGAAUGUGGUCUACGAACUUCAAUUUUUUUAAUUUACCUAUUAUGGUCCAAUGUCCAAAAUCAAAAUACAUGGUUAGAUUCAGCAUAUCAAAGAACCCCAUUUAUUCAAUUUUUGUUGAAAUCAAACAAAGUUUAAUUUUGGACCCCAACUUGGACAAACUUGAAAACUGGUCCCAUAAUCAAAAAUCUAAACACAUGUUUAGAUUCAGCAUAUCAAAGUACCCCAAGAAUUCAAUUUUUGUUAAAAUCAAACUAAGUUUAAUUUUGGACCCUUUGGACCUUAAUGUAGACCAAUUUAAAAAACGGGACCCAAAAUUAAAAAUCUAAAAACACGGUUAGAUUUGGCAUAUCAAAGAACCCCAAUAAUUCAAUUUUUGAUGAAAUCAAACAAAGUUUAAUUUUGGACCCUUUUGACCUCAAUAUAAACCAAUUUGAUAGCGGGCCCACAAAUAAAAAAUCUAAAUACAUGGUAAGAUUCAGCAUAUCAAAGAACCCCAUAUAUUCAAUUUUUGUUGAAAUCAAACAAAGUUUAAUUUUGGACCCCAAUUUGGACCAACUUGAAAACUGGGCCAAAAAUCUAAAAUCUAAAUACAUGUUUAGAUUCAGCAUAUCAAAGAACCCCAUAUAUUCAAUUUUUGUUGAAAUCAAACAAAGUUUAAUUUUGGACCCCAACUUGAACCAACUUGAAAACUGGUCCCAUAAUCAAAAAUCUAAACACAUAUUUAGAUUCAGCACAUCAAAGAACCCCAAAAAUUCAAUUUUUGUUAAAAUCAAACUAAGUUUAAUUUUGGACCCUUUGGACCUUAAUGUAGACCAAUUUAAAAAACGGGACCCAAAAUUAAAAAUCUAAAUACACGGUUAGAUUUGGCAUAUCAAAGAACCCCAAUAAUUCAAUUUUUGAUGAAAUUAAACAAAGUUUAAUUUUGGACCCUUCUGACCUCAAUAUGAACCAAUUUGAUAGCGGGCCCACAAAUAAAAAAUCUAAAUACAUGGUAAGAUUCAGCAUAUCAAAGAACCCCAUAUAUUCAAUUUUUGUUGAAAUCAAACAAAGUUUAAUUUUGGACCCCAAUUUGGACCAACUUGAAAACUGGGCCAAAAAUCAAAAAUCUAAAUACAUGUUUAGAUUCAGCAUAUCAAAGAACCCCAUAUAUUCAAUUUUUGUUAAAAUCAAACAAAGUUUAAUUUUGGACCCUUUGGACCUUAAUGUAGACCAAUUUGAAAACUGGACCCAAAAUUAAAAAUCUAAAUACACAGUUAGAUUCGGCAUAACAAAUAAAUAAAUGUGGUCAAAGAUUUUACAAA